rnacentral:hammerhead_ribozyme from 1 species
AUUCAGCUGACGAGUCCCAAAUAGGACGAAAUGCGCAUCCU